GAGUUCAAUUCCCAGCAACCACAUGGUGACUCACAACCAUCUGUGAUGGGAUCCAAUGCUCUCUCCUGGUGUGUCUGAAGACAGUUACACUGUACUCAUAUACAUUAAAUACAUAUUUCUUUUUUAAAAAGUAGAGUGUUAAGGGCUUGAGAGAUGGCUCAGCCGUCAGGAGCAUUGGCUGUUCUUCCAAAGGACCCACGUUUAAUUCCCAGGACCCACAUGGCUGCUUACAACUGUCUGUAACUCCAGUUUUAGGGGAAUAUGACACUCUCUUCUGGCUUCUGCAGACACUGCAUGCAUAGAAAUAUGCACAGGUAAAACACCCAUACACGUAAAAUAAGCAUAAGGUUGAUUGCUUCUUAAGAACAGAGCUGUAGUGAUUAGUUCCAAGCUGUCUAUGUCACCCUUGAGAUCUUGAAGGCAUUUCUGGAUGCAGAAGAAGAAAUCGUUCAGGACCAUUACCAACUGUCUCAACUGAUGGCUUCAAGGGGCUUGGUCUACUGUGUGAAGGUUUUGGUAGGCAAAUGGGAUGGAGACUUCAUUUUGUGUGUUGAAACUGACAUUUCUCACGGGAGGCUAUCUGGUGUCUCAGAGGGCCUGUCAGACUGUGCCCUUUAUGAUGGAAGGUAGCCCACACAGCUGAGCUGAGAUUCCACGGCUGUGCUGUGCCAAUCGAAAGUGUGUUUAUAAGGUUCAGGAAUCCAAUUUUGCCUGGAUUAUGUCCCUGCUUUGCUUUGGAAUGGAAAGCUAUCUUUAUCGGUCAAAUAGAGGAUGAAAAUGGUUUAGGUCUGGAUUUCAGGCCACUUCUCGGUCGAGCCGGCAAGAUUGUCUCACACACCACCUGUGCAGCAUAGGUCCCAAACACUUCAGAACAUGUGUCCCUGUUUGGUACAGAGAAAAACAGCAGAAAUAAUUCCAUCUGAGUGUGUGUCCAACAGGCGCUCUGUAGCCCAUAUCCGGCUGGAUAUAUUUGUUAAGAAACUUGAGUUGGGCAGGUCAUCUACUGUGGAGGGGAGGCUGUGAGGGUGCUAGGGUGCUGAGAUGUUCAUGCAACACUCCUGCUUCCCCAUGUUUGCCCUGGCCACUGGAUUUCACACUGUGCUGUAAUAAAAGCUGUUUCUAAUCUCAUGUUCUAAUGGUCUGGUCAUUCCCGUUUGAGUCAGUAAGGGCUAAGGAUGAGGCAGUGGCAGUAGCUGCCAGUUUGGGUUGUAUAAGGUGGUUUGACAAACCACCAGCAGUGGAAGUCACAGGCCUGGACAACUUGAUUAGCUUUCCACUUGCUUUUUGUGUGUGAUGCAGGGCCCUUGGUUUCUGGCCUACAUGACUGUAGUAGAUUUGCAUGAAAGAAAGGGAAUAAUUAUGAAAGACAGAGGUGGAAUGGUGGUGCACGCCUUUAAUUCCAGUACUUGGGAAGCAGAAGCAGGCAGAUUUCUGAGUUUGAGACCAGCCUGGUCUACAGAGUGAGUUCCAGGACAGCCAGGGCUACACAGAGAA
rnacentral:lncRNA from 1 species